rnacentral:rRNA from 1 species
GACGAACGCUGGCGGCGUGCUUAAUACAUGCAAGUCGAACGAGAAAGGUUCUUUCGGGAACUGAGUAGAGUGGCGAACGGGUGAGUAACGCGUAGAUAUCUGCCCCUGAGUCUGAGAUAACUUUUGGAAACGGGAGCUAAUACCGGAUGACGCAUAUAUAUUGACUUAUAUAUGUUAAAGGCUUCGGUCGCUUGGGGAUGAGUCUGCGUUCUAUCAGCUAGUUGGUGGGGUAAGAGCCUACCAAGGCGAAGACGGAUAGCUGGUCUGAGAGGAUGAUCAGCCACACUGGCACUGAGACACGGGCCAGACUCCUACGGGAGGCAGCAGUAGGGAAUAUUGCGCAAUGGACGAAAGUCUGACGCAGCGACGCCGCGUGAGUGAAGAAGGCCCCCUGGGUUGUAAAGCUCUGUAAGAGGGGAAGAAAAGGCCCGCAAGGGAGAUUGACGGUACCCUCAAAGUAAGGACCGGCUAAAUAAGUGCCAGCAGCCGCGGUAAUACUUAUGGUCCGAGCGUUGUCCGGAAUGACUGGGCGUAAAGGGUGCGUAGGCGGCCACAUAUGUCAGGUGUGAAAUCCCCGGGCUUAACCUGGGAACUGCGCUUGAAACUGUGUGGCUGGAGUAUGUGAGAGGUAAGUGGAAUUCCCGGAGUAGCGGUGAAAUGCGUAGAGAUCGGGAAGAACACCAGUGGCGAAGGCGACUUACUGGCACAUAACUGACGCUGAGGCACGAAAGCGUGGGGAGCGAACGGGAUUAGAUACCCCGGUAGUCCACGCCGUAAACGAUGUAUACUAGAUGUCAGGUUGAUUUACAAACUUGGUGUCGAAGCAAACGCGAUAAGUAUACCGCCUGGGGAGUACGGUCGCAAGAUUA